GACGAACGCUGGCGGCGUGCCUAAUACAUGCAAGUAGAACGCUGAAGGAGGAGCUUGCUUCUCUGAAUGAGUUGCGAACGGGUGAGUAACGCGUAGGUAACCUGCCUGGUAGCGGGGGAUAACUAUUGGAAACGAUAGCUAAUACCGCAUAAUAGCAGUUAUUGCAUGAUAACUGUUUAAAAGGUGCAAUUGCAUCACUACCAGAUGGACCUGCGUUGUAUUAGCUAGUUGGUGGGGUAACGGCUCACCAAGGCGACGAUACAUAGCCGACCUGAGAGGGUGAUCGGCCACACUGGGACUGAGACACGGCCCAGACUCCUACGGGAGGCAGCAGUAGGGAAUCUUCGGCAAUGGACGGAAGUCUGACCGAGCAACGCCGCGUGAGUGAAGAAGGUUUUCGGAUCGUAAAGCUCUGUUGUAAGAGAAGAACGAGUGUGAGAGU
rnacentral:rRNA from 1 species